rnacentral:rRNA from 1 species
CACGCAGGCGGUUCUGCGCGUUUCGAGUGACAGCGGGUGGCUUAACUGCCCGAGUAUUCGAAAGACGGCAGGACUUGAGGACCAGAGAGGGACACGGAAUUCCGGGUGGAGUGGUGAAAUGCGUAGAGAUCCGGAGGAACACCGAGGGCGAAGGCAGUGUCCUGGCUGGUAACUGACGCUGAGGUGCGAAAGCUAGGGGAGCGAACGGGAUUAGAUACCCCGGUAGUCCUAGCCGUAAACGAUGACCACCAGGUGUGGGAGGGAUCGACCCCUUCCGUGCCGGAGUUAACACACUAAGUGGUCCGCCUGGGGAGUACGGUCGCAAGAUUAAA